rnacentral:rRNA from 1 species
UACGAAGGGGGCUAGCGUUGCUCGGAAUUACUGGGCGUAAAGGGCGCGUAGGCGGAUAUCUAAGUUGGGGGUGAAAUCCCGGGGCUCAACCUCGGAAUUGCCUUCAAAACUGGAUAUCUUGAGUUCGGGAGAGGUGAGUGGAACUCCGAGUGUAGAGGUGAAAUUCGUAGAUAUUCGGAAGAACACCAGUGGCGAAGGCGACUCACUGGACACGUAUUGACGCUGAGGUGCGAAAGCGUGGGGAGCAAACAGG